UACAGAGGUCCCAAGCGUUGUUCGGAUUCAUUGGGCGUAAAGGGUGCGUAGGCGGCGCGGUAAGUCGGGUGUGAAAUCUCGGAGCUUAACUCCGAAACUGCAUUCGAUACUGCCGUGCUUGAGGACUGGAGAGGAGACUGGAAUUUACGGUGUAGCGGUGAAAUGCGUAGAUAUCAGGAGGAACACCGGUGGCGAAGGCGGGUCUCUGGGCCGAUACUGACGCUGAGGAGCGAAAGCGUGGGGAGCAAACAGG
rnacentral:rRNA from 1 species